GACGAACGCUGGCGGCGUGCUUAACACAUGCAAGUCGAACGGAAAGGCCCUGCUUUUGUGGGGUGCUCGAGUGGCGAACGGGUGAGUAACACGUGAGUAACCUGCCCUUGACUUUGGGAUAACUUCAGGAAACUGGGGCUAAUACCGGAUAGGAGCUCCUGCUGCAUGGUGGGGGUUGGAAAGUUUCGGCGGUUGGGGAUGGACUCGCGGCUUAUCAGCUUGUUGGUGGGGUAGUGGCUUACCAAGGCUUUGACGGGUAGCCGGCCUGAGAGGGUGACCGGGCUCAAGGGGACUGAGAUAGGGACCAGACGCCUACGGGAGGCAGCAGUGGGGAAUAUUGCACAAUGGGCGGAAGCCUGAUGCAGCAACGCCGCGUGCGGGAUGACGGCCUUCGGGUUGUAAACCGCUUUCGCCUGUGACGAAGCGUGAGUGACGGUAAUGGGUAAAGAAGCACCGGCUAACUACGUG
rnacentral:rRNA from 1 species